GACGAACGCUGGCGGCGUGCUUAACACAUGCAAGUCGAACGAAGUGGCGAACGGGUGAGUAACGCGUAAUCAACCUGCUCUUCAGAGGGGGACCACAGUCUGAAACGACUGCUACUACCGCAUACUGUAGGAGGGGAUUGCGUCUGAUAAGGUCGUGGGAGGGGUAACGGCCAACCAAGGCGAUGAUCAGUAGCCGGUCUGAGGGGAGGAACGGCCACAAUGGGACUGGUGCACGGCCCAGACUCCUACGGGAGGCAGCAGUGGGGAAUCAUCCGCAAUGGGCGAAAGUCUGGCGGAGCAACGCCGCGUGAGUGAUGACGGCCUUCGGGUUGUAAAGCUCUGUUAAUCGGGACGCGGUACCGGAAUAGAAAGCCACGGCUAACUACGUGCCAGCCGCCGCGGUAAUUC
rnacentral:rRNA from 1 species